rnacentral:rRNA from 1 species
AAGACCUUGCACUUUUGGAGCGGCCGAUGUCUGAUUAGCUAGUUGGUAGGGUAAUGGCCUACCAAAGCUUCGAUCAGUAGCUGGUCUGAGAGGACGGCCAGCCACACUGGGACUGAGACACGGCCCAGACUCCUACGGGAGGCAGCAGUGGGGAAUUUUGGACAAUGGGCGCAAGCCUGAUCCAGCCAUGCCGCGUGAGUGAAGAAGGCCUUCGGGUUGUAAAGCUCUUUCAGCCGGGAAGAAAAGGUUGCGAUUAAUAAUCGUAAUUUAUGACGGUACCGGAAGAAGAAGCACCGGCUAACUACGUGCCAGCAGCCGCGGUAAUACGUAGGGUGCGAGCGUUAAUCGGAAUUACUGGGCGUAAAGGGUGCGCAGGCGGUUUUGUAAGUCAGAUGUGAAAUCCCCGGGCUUAACCUGGGAACU